CGAAUGUGCACUUUUUAAAACGAAAUGUUUUAAAGUAGUGUAUACGUAGCCCACACUAGAUUAGCUUAGUUGUCGACCGAUGUCUAGCGCAGCUUAGGGCGCACUUCACUCUUAGGUGUAUGUGGGGAAAAGGCCAAUGCCACCAAACCAGAAUCGUACUCAGCAUCGAUCCCCACCGGGCGCCUACAGCGUGCAACUUGUCUCUACUGCGAACAUUCCCGCGCUAUAAAGUGCAUUCUACACCGGAAAGCUCGGCGACGUUCUGCGCGGUUUUCUGAAAAACUGACGAUGAGGGUAACGCUUCUCAUACUACUUCUCCUUUCGACGAUCGGACUCAUUACAGGCUCAGCAACAGACAGUGACUCUUCUUGGUCAAAAUGCACGGACACUGAACGUAAAUGCCAACGUAAUAGAGGUAGUGAUCGUCGAGCUGUCUGGAUGGCGAAUUAUAGUGACAACUCCUGCUACAAUAUUUCGGUCACAGGGUGCGAUGGUGUUGGUUUUAGCUCGCUGUCAGAGUGUUACGUCUUUUGCCUUGCUGAAUAGGGCAGAAGUUCUGCAAGAUUAAUUUUCAGCUAAUAAAGAGUGACAUGCUGUGCCGUAAAA